rnacentral:rRNA from 1 species
CAGUAGCCGCGGGAAUACCAGCAGCCCAAGUGGUGGUCGCGUUUAUUGGGCCUAAAGCGCUCGUAGCCUGACCGGUAAGUUCCCCGUGAAAUCGGGUCGCCCAACGAUUCGGCUUGCGGGGAAUACUGUCGGUCUUGGGGCCGGGAGACGCCGAGGGUACUCCGGGGGUAGCGGUGAAAUGCUGUAAUCCUCGGGGGACUACCAGUGGCGAAGGCGCUCGGCGAUAACGGGCCUGACGGUGAGGGGCGAAAGCUGGGGGCGCGAACGGGAUUAGAUACCCCAGUAGUCCCUGUCUCUUAUU